GCGGUAAGCUCGUCGUUGGAUUUCUGUUGAGGUCGAACAGUGCCGCCCUAUGGGUGCGCAACUGGCUCGGCUUCGGCACCUUCUUGGAGAGCGUAUCUGCACUUAACUGUGUGGAUCGUACUUCAAGUCAGUUACUUUGAGGAAUUGUGAGUGUUUCAAGCAGGCUUACGCCGUUGAAUCCGUUAGCAUGGAAUAAUAGAAUAGGACCUCGGUUCUAUUUUGUUGGUUUUGAGAGCUGGGGCAGCGAUUGAUAGGGACGGAUGGGGGCGUCCGAACUUUACUGUCAGAGGUGAAAUUCUUAGAUCGGUCAAAGGCGAACUACUGCGAACGCAUUCGCCAAGAAUGUUUUCUUUAAUCAAGAACGAAAGUUAGGGGAUCGAAGACGAUCAGAUACCGUCCUAGUCUUAACCAUAAACGUUACUGACUAGAGAUUGGAGGUUGUGAUUCACAAACUCCAUCAGCACCUCUAUGUGUAAACAAAGUCUUUGAGUUCUGGGGGGAGUAUGGUCGCAAGACUGAAACUUAAAGGAAUUGACGGAAGGGCACCACCAGGAGUGGAACCUGCGGCUUAAUUUGACUCAACACGGGGAAACUUACCAGAUCAAGACAUAGUAAGGAUUGACAGAUUGAGAGUUCUCUCUCGAUUCUAUGGGUGGUGGUGCAUGGCCGUUCUUAGUUGGUGGAGUGAUUUGUCUGGUUAAUUUCGUUAACGAACGAGACCUUAACUUGUCGAAUAGUGAAUCGUAACCUCGGUUACGUUGGAAUCUUCU
rnacentral:rRNA from 1 species